UCUGGCAGCGAUGGCGAAGAGGUCACACCUGUUCCCAUGUCGAACACAGAAGUUAAGCUCUUCAGCGCCGAUGGUAGUUGGGGCAUUGCCCCCGCGAGAGUAGGACGCCGCCAGGC
rnacentral:rRNA from 1 species